CGCCUCACGCCGCAGAAUCUCGCGAGAAGAGCCGCGCAAGCCGGAAAGAUGGCGCCCCCCAGUUCCCGGGAGCCCAAGAGCCAGGCGGCGCCCAGCGCUACGAAACCGGACGGCGAGAUGGUGCUGCCGGGCUUCCCGGACGCGGACAGCUUCGUGAAGUUUGCUCUUGGGUCGGUGGUGGCAGUCACCAAGGCGUCUGGAGGCCUGCCACAGUUUGGUGACGAGUAUGACUUUUACCGAAGUUUUCCUGGCUUCCAGGCGUUUUGUGAAACACAGGGGGACAGGUUGCUCCAGUGCAUGAGUAGGGUGAUGCAGUAUCAUGGGUGUCGGAGCAACAUUAAGGACCGAAGCAAAGCGACUGAGUUGGAGGACAAGUUCGAUUUGCUAGUUGAUACCAACGAUGUGAUUCUAGAGAGAGUGGGUAUUUUACUGGACGAAGCGUCGGGUGUGAAUAAGCAUCAGCAGCCGGUCCUCCCUGCAGGCCUCGAGGUCCCCAAAACAGUAGUGUCCAGCUGGAACCGGAAGGCAGGAGAAUAUGGCAAAAAAGCCAAAUCCGAAACCUUCCGGCUGCUUCAUGCCAAAAAUAUCAUCCGGCCUCAGCUCAAGUUCCGAGAGAAGAUCGACAAUUCCAACACGCCGUUUCUCCCUAAGAUCUUCAUCAAGCCCAAUGCCCAGAAGCCCCUCCCUCAGGUUCUCUCUAAGGAAAGGCGGGAACGCCCCCAGGACCGGCCUGAGGACUUGGAUGUGCCCCCUGCCCUGGCAGAUUUCAUCCAUCAGCAGCGAACGCAGCAGAUUGAGCAGGACAUGUUUGCACAUCCUUAUCAGUAUGAACUGGAUCACUUUACUCCACCAGACUCGGUGCUUCAAAAGCCACAACCCCAGUUAUACAGACCUGUAGAAGAAACUCCCUGCCACUUUGUGUCCUCCCUGGACGGACUUGUGGAACUCAACGAGAAGCUCCUGAAUUGUGAAGCAUUUGCUGUAGACUUGGAGCACCACUCUUACAGAAGCUUCCUAGGACUGACCUGCCUGAUGCAGAUUUCCACCCGCACAGAAGACUUCAUUGUGGACACCCUGGAGCUUCGCAGCGACAUGUACAUUCUCAACGAGAGCCUCACCAACCCUGCCAUCGUGAAGGUCUUCCAUGGUGCCGAUUCCGACAUCGAGUGGCUGCAGAAGGACUUUGGGUUGUACGUGGUGAACAUGUUCGAUACCCAUCAGGCCGCACGCCUUCUCAACCUGGGCAGGCACUCGCUUGACCACCUGCUGAGGCUGUACUGUGGCGUGGAGUCCAACAAGCAGUACCAGCUGGCAGACUGGAGGAUACGGCCCCUGCCAGAGGAAAUGUUCAGCUACGCCCGGGACGACACCCACUAUCUGCUGUACAUCUAUGACAAGAUGCGGCUGGAGCUCUGGGAGCGAGGCAACGAGCAGCCUGCCCAGCUGCAGGCGGUGUGGCAGCGGAGCAGGGAUAUCUGUCUCAAGAAAUUCGUCAAACCGAUCUUCACUGACGAGUCCUAUCUUGAACUGUACCGGAAGCAAAAGAAGCAUCUCAACUCGCAGCAGCUGACAGCUUUCCAGCUGCUGUUUGCCUGGAGGGACAAAACAGCUCGCACGGAGGACGAGAGCUACGGAUACGUUCUGCCAAACCACAUGAUGCUCAAGAUAGCUGAGGAGCUGCCUAAGGAACCGCAGGGCAUCAUAGCUUGCUGCAACCCAGUACCGCCUCUUGUACGGCAGCAGAUCAAUGAGAUGCACCUUCUAAUCCGGCAGGCUCGAGAGAUGCCCCUGCUCAAGUCUGAGACUACAGCUGGAGUGAAGAAGAGCGGACCACGGCCCGGUGUUGAGAGGCUGGAGAAUGUUCUCUUUGGACCUCACGACUGCUCUCACGCCCCUCCGGAUAGCUACCCAGUCACCCCCGCUGCUGGGCCCGUGCCAGCGCGGAAGCAGGCAAGCCUCUUUGCUGACCCGAAAGAGGAGACUCCGCUGGACACCCAGUGCCUUCUCGCCAAAGCUGUCGUCACCGUACUCAGCGAACCCAGUGCUGAGGAGAAUGGAAAGACUCCACUAACGGUCGCACAGAAAAAGGCCCAGAACAUCAUGGAGUCCUUUGAAAACCCAUUCAGGAUGUUCCUGCCUUCGCUAGAACACCGGGCCCACAUCUCCCAGGCAGCAAAGCUCGAUCCGUCCUCGAAAAUCUAUGAAAUCAGCAACCGUUGGAAGCUGGCCAGCCAAGUACAAGUACAAAAAGAAGCUAAAGAAACUGCCAAGAAGAAGGCAGCUGAGCAAACAGCCACCCGGGAACAGGCCAAGGAAGAGUACAGAGCCACCGUGGAGCAGGCCAUCUCGGUGCGACAGCAGGCUGCGCUAGAAAACGCUGCCAAGAAGAGAGAGCGCACGACAAGUGACCCAAGGACCACAGAACAGAAACAGGAGAAGAAGCGACUCAAGACUUCCAAGAAGCCGAAGGACCCAGCUCCACCCGUGGGAGAGUUCACUCCCUAUGACUACAGCCGGACGGACUUCAAGGCUUUCGCUGCAGAUGGCAAAUCCAGACCUUCCUCCCAGUUUGACCCGAGUAAGCAGGCUGCAGCUGGCAAGGUAGGAAGUGCAGCGGAAGGGCUGAAGGCAGCUCCACGCAGAGCACUUGCUCGGCUCAGCGUGCUAGUGCAGGCCCUCGGCGCUGGUCCCCAGCCCUGCAAAAUGAGCGGAAACGGAAACGUCGCGCAGCGUCCCCGCGUGCCGGCUGUGCUGCUGUCUGACCUCGCGCGGCGAUGGGUCCAGGGUUCCCUUUCCUGCGCGUGUCUUCCCCGACCCAGGCAGAACCCAUCAGCUGGCCCAGCAGAGGAAAAACCAGGAGCUGUCAGAGCUGGCGUGCAGUUUCAAAGGAGUUACUGUUGACUCCUGUGGGAAUCCAAGUCGCAGGCAGAGCUCUCCCUCGCGUGUGCCCCACCAGGGUCCGUGCCAGGACCUGUUCCGCCUCUCGGCCUCCCCUCCUGAUGGGCGGAGGUGGCAGCUGCAGAAACCCGCAGUGCACCCCCUGCCCGUGUCUCCAGGAUCAGCUGGCGGGUUAGGAAGCUUCCGUGUCCGCUUCUUGUCAGCUUAAUGGUUCUUAUUGUUUCAGAAAUGCAUUACAGCCAAAAAAGUGAAACAGUCAGUGGGGAACAAAAGCAUGUCCUUCCCAGCGGGCAAGUCAGACAGAGGCUUCAGGCACAGCUGGCCAA